rnacentral:rRNA from 1 species
AAGCCAUUAGCCAAACAAGUAUUAAAGGUAAUGCCUGCCCAGUGAGAAUUACUUAAACGGCCGCGAUAACCCGUGCGAAGGUAGCGCAAUCACUUGUCUUCUAAAUAAAGACCUGUAUGAAUGGCCACAUGAGAAAGAGACUGUCUCUUGAAGAUAGCCAAUGAAACUGAUCUGCCUGUACAAAAGCAGGCAUGACAAAACAAGACAAAAAGACCCUGUGAAACUUAAAAUUACAUGUCAAACACAUGACAUUACUUUUUAGUUGGGGCAACUACAGAGAAACAAAACCUCUAUAAUUACACAAGACCAACAAGUCAAAUUGACUAAGUACAACGACCCAGUACUACUGAUCAAUGAACCAAGCUACUCCAGGGAUAACAGCGCUAAAUUCUUGAAGAGUCCACAUCAACAAGAAUAUUUACGACCUCGAUGUUGGAUCAGGAUACCCAAACAGUGCAGAAGCUGUUAAAGGUUCGUUUGUUCAACGACUAACAUCCUACGC